rnacentral:rRNA from 1 species
GUUUCGAAUCAUUCACAAUGGGCGAAAGCCUGAUGGUGCGACGCCGCGUGAGGGAUGAAGGUCUUCGGAUUGUAAACCUCUGUCACUGGGGAAGAAACGCUUCAUGUUAAUAGCAUGAAGCCUGACUUAACCCAGAGAGGAAGCAGUGGCUAACUCUGUGCCAGCAGCCGCGGUAAUACAGAGACUGCAAGCGUUAUUCGGAUUCACUGGGCGUAAAGGGUGCGCAGGCGGCCGUGUGUGUUAGGUGUGAAAGCGCGGGGCUUAACCCCGGAAUUGCGCCUAAAACUACAUGGCUAGAGCAUUGGAGAGGGUAGCGGAAUUCACGGUGUAGCAGUGAAAUGCGUAGAUAUCGUGAGGAACACCAGAGGCGAAGGCGGCUACCUGGACAAUUGCUGACGCUCAGGCACGAAAGCGUGGGGAGCAAAAGGGAUUAGAUACCCUAGUAGUCC